rnacentral:rRNA from 1 species
UACGUAGGUGGCAAGCGUUGUCCGGAAUUAUUGGGCGUAAAGCGCGCGCAGGCGGUUCUUUAAGUCUGAUGUGAAAGCCCCCGGCUCAACCGGGGAGGGUCAUUGGAAACUGGGGAACUUGAGUGCAGAAGAGGAGAGUGGAAUUCCACGUGUAGCGGUGAAAUGCGUAGAGAUGUGGAGGAACACCAGUGGCGAAGGCGACUCUCUGGGCUGUAACUGACGCUGAGGCGCGAAAGCUAGGGGAGCAAACGGG